AAGUCGUAACAAGGUUUCCGUAGGUGAACCUGCGGAAGGAUCAUUAUCCUUUAGCUUAGUAAUCUAAACAGUUACUAAAAGCGCAUGCACCUAUGUGUUGCGUAAAAAUGCACAGCGGGCCUGCCUCGUCAGGUCCGCUACUCAAACCCAUGCUCGCUAUCGAGUAUGGUCGGGUACCUAUGCUACGCAAGUAGCGAAAGCGGUAGAUGCGCUGUCUGCCGUGUGGUGUAAAGAUCAUUUGAGGCCCUUUCGAAUGACGCCCGCCUAGCAAAACUUUUUAUACCAAUUAAUCACACUUAUUAUGUUGUAUGUGUAAAGCACUAUCCCAUACCUAGCUAUGAGAUAAUAACACAAAUACAACCCUAUGCGGUGGAUCAUUUGGCUC
rnacentral:misc_RNA from 1 species